GGCAAUUAAUGGUUCUUUCAGAAAAGAGGUUUGAUAUUCUCCGUAAGCAUGGAGUUUAAUGCUCUCUGUAUUUAUAAGAGAAGAAUUCUGGACCAAAACAACCAUGAGCACCAGAAACACCUCUCCCUAUCCAUAUAGAUCCAGCAGUGAAUUUGUAAACAGGAAAUUAUCAUAAAUUGGUGCCACCAUCAAAAUAUCAGAUUACGGAUUCUCAUAAAGUUGUGUGUCCAUCUCGCUUGAACAAUAAAAAAUUGAAAGGAAAAAAGAAAGAAAC
rnacentral:misc_RNA from 1 species